rnacentral:rRNA from 1 species
AGCUUGCUGUUUCGCUGACGAGUGGCGGACGGGUGAGUAAUGUCUGGGAAACUGCCUGAUGGAGGGGGAUAACUACUGGAAACGGUAGCUAAUACCGCAUAACGUCGCAAGACCAAAGAGGGGGACCUUCGGGCCUCUUGCCAUCGGAUGUGCCCAGAUGGGAUUAGCUAGUAGGUGGGGUAACGGCUCACCUAGGCGACGAUCCCUAGCUGGUCUGAGAGGAUGACCAGCCACACUGGAACUGAGACACGGUCCAGACUCCUACGGGAGGCAGCAGUGGGGAAUAUUGCACAAUGGGCGCAAGCCUGAUGCAGCCAUGC